GCUUAACGCGAAGAACCUUACCCGGGCUUGAAAGUUACUGAAGUUUUCGGAGAUGGAAACGUCCGCAAGGACAGGAAACUAGGUGCUGCAUGGCUGUCGUCAGCUCGUACCGUGAGGUGUUGGGUUAAGUCCCGCAACGAGCGCAACCCCUAUGUUUAGUUGCCAGCAUUUAAAGGUGGGGACUCUAAACAGACUGCCUGUGCAAACAGAGAGGAAGGAGGGGACGACGUCAAGUCAUCAUGGCCCUUACGUCCGGGGCUACACACGUGCUACAAUGGAUGGUACACAGGGCAGCAAGCUGGUAACAGCAAGCAAAUCCCAAAAAGCCAUUCACAGUUCGGAUAGAGGUCUGCAACUCGACCUCUUGAAGUUGGAUUCGCUAGUAAUCGCAUAUCAGCAAUGAUGCGGUGAAUACGUUCCCGGGUCUUGUACACACCG
rnacentral:rRNA from 1 species